AUGCUGUCAUUUAACUCACAACUUCGCUUUUUGUGUUUCCCCCUGUUUUGGUCCCAGAAAGUGCUCCCUUGUGCCUUACUAGCCUUUUUCUCUUCCCUUCUGCCCAUGUUCCCUACCCAGAGUGCUGAUUCUCACCCUCUGCCCUCUCCCGCAGCGCUCGGUCUCCCCACACAGCUCCCGGGCCAUGCAGCCCCCGCUCGCCCCCGGUGUGCGGGACUCUCCCGCAGCCCUCGGUCUCCCCACACAGCUCCCGGGCCAUGCAGCCCCCGCUCGCCCCCGGUGUGCGGGCCUCUCCGGCGCCGCUGGCCAACACCUCCAUCUCCCGGACACAGCACACACGGCACCAGCCACACGCCUUCUCUGCCCUCCCCUGCUCGCUAACGUUAUCGACACCUUGUGCUCGAUCCAUGAGCUUCAGGGAUUCCAAGCUGUUAACUGAAGGUUUUUUUUACAGGAGACAAGACCUGUGGAUUAAACUUUGAAGGGAUCUUCACAAGACUGCUGGAACACAGAGACGGCAGUUCGCUUAAGAGGUUUGUGCUUGACAUGCUGAGGUCUUCACCUGUACAGGGAAUAAUUUGAAAAUCUGUAAAUAAAUUUAUAAAACCUUUGAUUUUUGACCAGUGAAUUCUGAAAAUUUCAUUUGCUAGCAGUCAUAUGCCUGUCUUCCUAUCUCUGCAUCUGUUCCUAGCCGAAGUCUACCCAAGUCUGUUUCAAAGAAAUGCAAUGUGCAGCUGAGCAUUGCUGAGCUAAUUCAAUACAUCAGUACAUUCUGGAUUUCUUUUUCCUGCCUCAGUGCUGAACUAUGUACCAAAAUCACGUGCUGGGAACCAAAACCAGAGUUUGGUACACGGCUGGAAGAGAGCAGCCAGCUCACAAUACGGACAUUUCCUAUCUUCCGCCUCAAUUUUCCCAUCAGUUUCAACUGGACGUUUGAAGCCUUCGUCAGCGAAACCGCCUCCUGAUACCUGACAUACUAACGGAGAGCUUUGUGCCAUAGUAACACAAAGCAAACUGAUUUGCAUUGAAAAUAAAAGAGGAAAAAAAUUUCCACUAGGACCGCCCUGCGCCCCGCCCCGAGGGCAGGGAGCCGCGCCCCUCAGGGCGCCGGCCUCAGGGCGCCGGCCCCGCCCCGCGGCGCCUGCGCCCUACUCCCGCGCACGCGCUCUGAGGGAGCUCUGCCCCACGUACUUCCCGGUCGCGGUCCCGUGCCGCUGCCCCGUUCCCGUCCCGUUCCCCUCGUUCCCACCCCGCCGCACUGCCCGCGGGCGAUGCGGUGCUCCCGGCGCAGGGCAGGCGGGGGGGGGGGGGGGGGGGGGGGGGGGGGGGGGGGGGGGGGGGGGGGGGGGGGGGGGGGGGGGGGGGGGGGGGGGGGGGGGGGGGGGGGGGGGGG
rnacentral:lncRNA from 1 species